rnacentral:rRNA from 1 species
UCGAACGGUAGCACAAAGGAGCUUGCUCCUUGGGUGACGAGUGGCGGACGGGUGAGUAAUGCUUGGGAAUCUGGCUCAUGGAGGGGGAUAACUACGGGAAACUGUAGCUAAUACCGCGUAAUAUCUUCGGAUUAAAGWGUGGGACCKYMRGGCCACWUGCCAUGAGAUGAGCCCAAGUGGGAUUAGGUAGUUGGUGGGGUAAAGGCCUACCAAGCCGACGAUCUCUAGCUGGUCUGAGAGGAUGACCAGCCACACUGGAACUGAGACACGGUCCAGACUCCUACGGGAGGCAGCAGUGGGGAAUAUUGCACAAUGGGGGGAACCCUGAUGCAGCCAUGCCGCGUGAAUGAAGAAGGCCUUCGGGUUGUAAAGUUCUUUCGGUAGCGAGGAAGGUGGUAAUGUUAAUAGCAUUAUCAAUUGACGUUAACUACAGAA